GUCCUAUAUACAUCCCAUCUAAAGUGGC
rnacentral:piRNA from 1 species